rnacentral:rRNA from 1 species
CUUGCCGGACACGCCGAGAGGAGGUGCAUGGCCGCCGUCAGCUCGUACCGUGAGGCGUCCACUUAAGUGUGGUAACGAGCGAGACCCGUGCCCCCAGUUGCCAGUCCCUCCCGCUGGGAGGGAGGCACUCUGGGGGGACCGCCGGCGAUAAGCCGGAGGAAGGAGCGGGCGACGGUAGGUCAGUAUGCCCCGAAACCCCCGGGCUACACGCGCGCUACAAUGAGCGGGACAAUGGGAUCCGACCCCGAAAGGGGAAGGGAAUCCCCUAAACCCGCUCCCAGUUCGGAUCGCGGGCUGCAACUCGCCCGCGUGAAGCUGGAAUCCCUAGUACCCGCGUGUCAUCAUCGCGCGGCGAAUACGUCCCUGCUCCU